GUGAGCGUAGCUCAGUCGGUUAGAGCGCCAGAUUGUGGAUCUGGAGGUCGCGGGUUCGAAUCCCGUCGCUCACC
rnacentral:tRNA from 1 species